rnacentral:rRNA from 1 species
CCUACGGGAGGCAGCAGUGAGGAAUAUUGGUCAAUGGACGAGAGUCUGAACCAGCCAAGUAGCGUGGAGGAUGACUGCCCUAUGGGUUGUAAACUUCUUUUAUAUGGGAAUAAAAUAUUCCACGUGUGGGAUUUUGUAUGUACCAUAUGAAUACGGAUCGGCUAACUCCGUGCCAGCAGCCGCGGUAAUACGGAGGUUCCGAGCGUUAUCCGGAUUUAUUGGGUUUAAAGGGCGCGUAGGGGGAUUGGUAAGUCAGGUGUGAAAGUUUGCGGCGCAACCGUGAAAUUGCAGUUGAAACUGGGAGUCUUGAGUGCAGGAGAGGUGGGCGGAAUUCGUGGUGUAGCGGUGAAAUGCUGAGAUAUCAGGAAGAACUCCGAUGGCGAAGGCAGUUCACUGGACUGCAACUGACGUUGAGGCUCGAAAGUGUGGGGAGCAAACAGGAUUAGAUACCCGGGUAGUC